CAGCCGCCACGGUAAAACGUAGGGUGCAAGCGUUAAUCGGAAUUACUGGGCGUAAAGCGUGCGCAGGCGGUUUGUUAAGACAGAUGUGAAAUCCCCGGGCUCAACCUGGGAACUGCAUUUGUGACUGGCAAGCUAGAGUGUGGCAGAGGGGGGUGGAAUUCCGCGCGUAGCAGUGAAAUGCGUAGAUAUGCGGAGGAACACCGAUGGCGAAGGCAGCCCCCUGGGCCAACACUGACGCUCAUGCACGAAAGCGUGGGGAGCAAACAGGAUUAGAUACCCCCGUAGUCCCUGUCUCUUAUAC
rnacentral:rRNA from 1 species